GAUGAACGCUAGCUACAGGCUUAACACAUGCAAGUCGAGCGACCGGCGCACGGGAGAGUAAUAUGUCACCAACUUGCCUUUUACUUGGGGCUAGCCUAUUGAAAGUAAUAUCAAUACCCGACAUAACGGCUGGGGAUGCGUUUCUUUAGGUUGUUGGUGCGGUAACGGCUCGCCAAGCCUUCGAUGGAUAGGGGUUUUGAGUGGAAGGUCCCCCACAUUGGAACUGAGACACGGUCCAAACUCCUACGGGAGGGAGCAGUGAGGAAUAUUGGUCAAUGGGCGGUAGCCUGAACCAGCCAAGUAGCGUGAAGGAUGAAGGCUUAUGGGUCGUAAACUUCUUUUAUAUAAGAAUAUGUAUUAUAUGAAUAAGGAUCGGCUAACUCCGUGCCAGCAGCCGCGGUAAUAC
rnacentral:rRNA from 1 species